rnacentral:snRNA from 1 species
GGAUGUGAGGGCGAUCUGGCUGCGACAUCUGUCACCCCAUUGAUCGCCAGGGUUGAUUCGGCUGAUCUGGCUGGCUAGGCAGGUGUCCCCUUCCUCCCUCACCGCUCCAUGUGCGUCCCUCCCGAAGCUGCAUGUUCGGUGGAAGAGAAUGACCAUCCCAGAUAGAAGGAGUGUACUGUUCUUCGGUCAAGGGUAUACGAUAGCUGCUAGUGCUUCAGUUUUUUAAAAUAAAGCACAUUCCACACAGAUACAUAUAUGGCAAAUGUAUUGUUGUGCCAAAUAAAUAU